CGGUGUCGUGCCAGAGCCGGCUGAGUGGGCGAAGAGGACUUUGACGGAGGAGAAUAAAAGGAGAAAAAGAGGCUGGCAUACAUUGGCAAGAGCUUCAUGAAAUAAAAGGUUCACAUCAAAAGUUUAAAUCUAAGGUAACGAAUGGAAGUAUAUUCGUUAUUCCACCAGUUUAAGGAACUCAAAGCACCGCUCCACUCCAAGCCCUGAUUGGUGCAAUUUGGGACCCGAGUCCCUGUUUGAUGGGCGGACUUCAGUGCACCAGCCAUUCCCUGAUAAGACGAUAAGAAUCUGCAGCAGAGUAAUUACACACAGAUAACAACAUAUGUGAGCAACUCUGGAGGAAUGAUGCCAUAAAAACUGUGCUCUCCAAAAUCUAAGUUAAAUGAACAAAACAUUUAACUAAAACAGGAAAACUUAAAAAGU